GACGAACGCUGGCGGCGUGCUUAAUACAUGCAAGUCGAACGGACAGAUCCUGCUCUUGUUCCGUUCACGUUUGCCGCACGCGUGUGAGUCACGUGAGUAUCCCGUCCCUGACUUUCGGAUAUCUCUUGGAAAAUGGGGCUCAAAUCGCAUAGGAUCUCUUGAUGCAUGGUGUGGGAUGGAAAGAUUCGGCGGUUGGGGAUCGACUCGCGGCUUACCAGCUUGUUGGUGGGGUAGUGGCUUACCAAGGUUUUGACGGGUAGCCGGCCUAAGAGGGUGGCCGGCCACAUUGGGACUGAGAUACGGCCCAGACUCCUACGGGAGGCAGCAGGGGGGAAUAUUGCACAAUGGGCGGAAGCCUGAUGCAGCAACGCCGCGUGCGGGAUGACGGCCUUCGGGUUGUAAACCGCUUUCGCCUGUGACGAAGCGUGAGUGACGGUAAUGGGUAAAGAAGCACCGGCUAACUACGUG
rnacentral:rRNA from 1 species